UAGUGUAUUUUAUUUGUAGAAUUAAAUUGAUGAAAAAAUAAAGAAAUUUGAAGCGAAAAAGAAUUAAAGAUGAAAGAUUGAAGAAGAAAAUCAAUCAGACAGCUUAAUACAUUAUAUUUAAUAUAAUAUUGUAUACAUAUGAAAGUGCAGCAAAGAGAUAUUCAAUUGAAAUUGGCGCAUUUGGCACGUGGCAGCAAUAUGAAGACACCAUUGAAAGGCGG
rnacentral:lncRNA from 1 species